CGGCCGGGGGACGCGGCGAGGAGAGGGAGGCGCGGGCGCCACUGAGUUCACUUUCUUUUUCUCCCCCUCGCGCUUCCCGCCAGGCCUCUCCAACCUCCUCUGCCGGCCAGAAUCCCCGUUUUUCAGUCCCGGGAGUGGAAGGAUGGAGGAGGCGAGGGAGGAAGGAGAGAAGGGAAAGGUCACCUCCAUAAGGGUGGUCUUUGUUAUGUCUACCAGGGAGCUGCCAACAUCUGCAACUGAGUCUGGGACACAGAAACUGUCCAAUAAAUACUUACUGAAUGAAUCAAUUGUGAUUGCAGGAAGGCAGUAAGAAUAGAGGAAGCAAGAACAUACAAGAACUUGGGAAGAGAGUUUUCUCAUUAGGAAUGCGAGCUAUGAGAAACCAAGCAGAAGUGUUUCCAUCUCGAUGGCGCUAUCAACUGGUGAAGUCAUAGGAAACCAAAGGAAUUGAGAGGAGACAGACACUGCUACCAAGAACUCGUGUCCACCACGCAUUGGUGAAAGGAGAGAAUGGCCAUUCUACCAACCUGAACCUUUUUACAUGGGACAGUGUACAGUAUCACCUCAGGACCCCUGUUGAGUUGUUGAGGGUUCCUGAGUAUUUUAUUAGCAUCCAGGUCCUGUUUUCAGUAAAUCCUACUUCUCACUGGGUACAGAAUCAAAGCAAUCCUCCAGCAAAACAUUUCAAUUGUUGCAUAUGGAGCCUCCACUAUCAGAACCAUUUUUGGAAUAAUGCAGGGUCUUUACUCAAAUCACUGUUAUACGUAAAGGACCCCCAACAAGCAGUUACAACUGGAUUAUAGCUGCUUCAAAUAUUUAACUUUCCAUGAAUAGCUUUUGAAGGCUAGGUCAUAACUUGUCUAUCCAAGCAUAUAGGAUAGCAUUCAUUGAUUGUAUGUUUCUUCAGUGACCAGAAUAUAAACAUGGGGGAGACUGUUAGGACUUAAGACAUCUGAGGGAGAACUUACAGAAUUUGUUCACCUGUGUUUAUAUAAAAAUAAAACAAUAGAUUAUAUAUACAAAGAUAAAAAAUUCACUUGUUUGUAUGUACAUUAUAUGUAUUUUGAGUAUAGAUCAAGUAUAGAAUAGUUCCACUUAUUAUUGGUUUCAUUUGUUUUGC